CAAUGAAAUGCAACACGUCAGAAACGUCAGGGAGGUGCUACAGAGAUUGAAGAAGCAUCAGUUGUGGGUCAAGCUGGGAAAAUGCCAAUUCCACGCCAGGGAGGUCGAGUUCCUGGGGUACAGGUUGUCAGACAAAGGACUGGCCAUGGAUCCAGGCAAGGUGAAGGCAGUGCUGGAAUGGAAGGCCCCCAAAAACAGAAAGGAUGUGCAGAGGUUCCUAGGCUUCAGCAACUUCUACAGGAAGUUCAUAAAGAACUUCGCUCACUUGACAGCGCCCAUAACGGAUUGUUUUAGUAGCAAAAAGAAGUUCGCAUGGACAGCGGAUAUGCAGCAAUCCUUUGAAAAACUGAAGAAGGCGUUCGCAUCGGAAGAGCAGCUCCUGCACGUGGAUCCGGAGAAGCCCAUGAGACUGGAGACGGACGCAUCCGACCGCGCGAUUGGAGCGGUACUUUUGCAACCCAGGUCCAAGGAGAACUGGAGACCGUGUGCCUUUUUCUCUAGGAAGCUGAGCAAGUCGGAGCAAAACUACACGGUGUAUGACCGAGAACUGCUUGCGAUCUAAGUGGCAUUUCGGCAAUGGAGACAUCUUUUGAUAGGGGCGCGGCACAAGAUCCAGGUCCGAACUGGCCACAAGAACUUGGAAUACUGGCGGACCGCGUGAGUGCUCAACCAGAGACAGAUCAGAUGGUCCCAGGAGUUCGCCAAGUUUUUCUUCGAGAUACGAUACAUGCCGGGAGGGGAAAACAUGAGGGCAGAUGCACUCUCCAGGAAACUGGAGUACAUGGAAGGAGAGGGGCCACCAGAGACCAGGCACGUGUUCCCCGAGGACCGGUGGGUGUGUGGGGGAGUGUUGGUAGGGAAACGAGAACUAGCAGGGCUCACCAGAGACGAUGAGUUUGCUCAGACAAAAAUCAGGGAGCUCAGGGACGGAAAGGAAGACAAUGGAGGGUUUGAGGAAAAGGAAGGGCUACUGUACUACAAGGGGGCGCUGUAUGUACCAGGAGAGACUUUGAGGGGGAAGGUACUUAGACAGCUCCAUGACAACCCAACAGCUGGGCACUUUGGACAGCACAAGACCAUGCUACUUGUCACCAGGCAGUUCUGGUGGCCAAAGGUGAGGGAAGACGUACGAGAAUAUGUACGUGGGUGCGACCAAUGCCAGAGGGCAAAGGGGGAAAGGACUGCCCCCACUGGGCUACUGGAACCCUUACCUACACCGGAAAGGCCCUGGGAGGUGGUGUCCAUUGAUUUUAUGACAGAUCUGCCCAAGUCAAGGGGAAAGACAGCGGUCAUGGUAGUGGUCGAUCUACUGACUAAAAUGUGCCAUUUCGUAGCUUGCUCGCAUGCAGUAUCGGCAGAGGAGACAGCCAGGCUGUUUGUGGACCACAUUUUUAGACUGCAUGGGGCCCCGUUGAGGGUAAUCUCGGAUUGCAAGAAACAAUUUACCUCCCGGUUCUGGCGGAGACUCAUGAGCUUGCUACAGGUCAAGGUGAGCUUCUCGACAGCGAGGCACCCAGAAACCAACGGACAGGCCGAAAGAGCGAACGGUAUACUCCAGCAGUACCUACGCUGCUAUGUCAGCGAGAGGCAGAACGAUUGGGUAGAGAAAUUAGCUUUGGCUGAAUUUGCAUACAAUAACGCUGAACAUGUGUCCACGGGAAUGAGCCCUUUCAUGGCCAAUUACGGGUGUCACCCCAGGGCCUUCCCAGGGCGGGGGGAGGAAGGAUGGAGUGUACCUGCGGCUGAGCAAUUUGUGGAGGAAAUGGAGGCCUUACACCAGCAACUCAGGCUGAACUUGGAGCAGGCAAAGGAAGUUUACAAGAGGCAGGCAGACAGGCACCGUCGGGAGGGGGAGGCCAUACGGGUGGGAGACCGGGUGUGGUUGUCAUCCCAAGGGUUGCCCCUAAAGGGAGGAUGCAAGAAGUUGCAGCCUAGGCGGCUGGGGCCUUUUGAGGUAAUACAGCAGGUUAACCCAGUGGCAUUUAAACUCAAGUUGCCUGACAGCAUGAAGAUACAUCCGGUGUUCCAUAGGUCCCUACUUUCAUAUUACAGGGAGGGGCGGGAAUUCCUGGGACGGGAGGGAGGGGUUACCACCCACCCGCGGGUAGAGGAGAGGGAACACUGUAACGACACUACGGAAAUACUCGAGGUGGCGAGGUUGCCAGGUAGAGUACUUGGUAGCCUGGGAGGGGGAACCUAGGUCUGAAAACACUUGGGUCCCUGCUGAAUCAAUCACUGAUGGGUAUCUGGUGGAAGAGUUUCAUGGUUUGUUCCUGGGUAAGCCCAAACCAUUAGCUAGAUUCUGGGAGGAAGAAUUUGGACCCACAGACGACGAAGGGGACUUUGUGGGUUUUCCUACCUCCGAAGAGGAGGGAGGGGAGGUGUCCGAGGGACAAGAAUCAGACUGGGAGGUUCAACCAGCUGGAAGAGAUCCGAGCGCAUGGGAGGCUGGUUUUGAAUCCUCAGAAGAUGAUGACAGUUCUUUCAGGGGAUUCCCCGCAUCGUCGGUCGAGGAGAGAGAGGAGGAUGUAUCGGAAGAUCGCGCCAGGGGUGGGGGUGGGGUACUGAGGAGGAGGUGGAUGUCAGGGAACUGCCAUCAGUGCCGGAGGGAGAGAGCAAAAGCCAGAGGGAUUCCAGAGAGUGUCCAGCGAUCGGGAGAAGCAGCCCAUCUUCUGGGGAAGAGAAUCAGCGUAGCACCAGUGGAGAAGGGGGGCAGAUGGGGGAAGCGGCGAGGCGGUCCCAUGACUCCUUGCCUGGGACCAGCGGGGAGAGUAGGGGUCCUCCGUUGCCCACGCCCUCCUUGCGCAGAAGGCUUUCGUGCAGAGAGAGUAGGAGGAGACUAGGCGUCAAAGAGCUUCUUGGCUGGAAGAAGUUUAAGAAACGCCCACUGACGGAUUCUGCCAGUGAUUGAGUCAGCCACGGGUGAGUGGCUGUCCGGACAGAAAAGGUUCACUUUGGCAACCCAGCCAGGUGUUUGCACCCAGCCGGGGAGAUAAGCACCGGCUUACGCACGAGCAACCCCUAGAACCAUUACAUAGGGUGUCCUAACAAUUCUCGGAAUGCUUAACAAACUACAGCUCCCAGAAUUAUUUGGGGGAAGCCAUGCCAGUUUAAAUUGGUGUCAUAGUGCUUAAAAUGUGUGGUGUGAAUGUGACCUAAGUCCCAUGUAAUGCUCACUCUAGUGUUAAGGUUGUUCUAGAAUACUUGCAUUUCUGUAUAUGGCACUUCCAGUCUCUUCUAAUUUGAUCAAAAAGUUUUUCUAAGUUGUCGGACAGAUCAGCAGAAUUAGCAUUUUCAAUGCAUGUGAAAAUCUAAAGAUUUUGUUGGAAGGAUAUGUUGGGGAAAGCAUAUGUUGUAUCUGGAUGAUUUGCUCUGAAAAAAAAUUUUAGAUCAGUGUAUGCUGAGGAACCCCUUCAUGGAUCACUACCUUGCCAUGGCGAAGGGGCUUGAAUAACUCAGAGAAGCUAUGAGCUAUGCAGUGCAGGGCCACCCAAGAUGGACAGGUCAUAGUGGAGAGUUUUGACCAAACGUGAUCCACCUGGAGCAGGAACCGGCAAGCCACUCCAGUAUCCUUGCCAAGAAAACUCCAUGGACAAAGACAAAAGGCAUAUAAAAGUUAUGACGCUGGAAGAUGAGCCCCUCAGGUCAGAAGGCAUCCAACAUGCUACUGAGGAAGAGCGGAGGACAAGUACAAGUAGAUUCAGAGCUGAUGAAGUGGCUGGGCGAAAGCUGAAAGGACGCUCAGUUGCGGAUAUGCCUGGAAGCGAAAGGAAAGUCCAAUGCUGUAAAGAAAAAUAUUGCAUAGGAACCUGGAAUGUAAGAACCAUGAACCUUGGUAAGUUGGAUGUGGUCAAAAAUGAGAUGGCAAGAAUAAAUAUCGACAUCCUGGGCAUCAGUGAACUAAAAUGGACGGGAAUGGGCGAAUUCAGUUCGGAUGACCAUCAUAUCUACUACUGUGGGCAAGAAUCCCAUGAAAGAAAUGGAGUGGCCCUCAUAGUCAACAAAAGAGUGGCAAAAGCUGUAUUGGGAUGCAAUCUCAAAAAUGAUAGAAUGAUCUCGAUACGAAUCCAAGGCAGACCUUUUAACAUCACAGUAAUCCAAGUUUAUGCACCAACCACUGGUGCUGAAGAAACUGAAACUGACCAAUUCUAUGAAGACUUACAACACCUUAUAGAAUUGACACCAAAAAAGGAUGUUCUUCUCAUUAUAGGGGAUUGGAAUGCUAAAGUAGGGAGUCAAGAGAUAAAAGGAACAACUGGCAAGUUUGGCCUUGGAGUUCAAAAUGAAGCAGGGCAAAGGCUAAUAGAGUUCUGCCAAGAGAACAAGCUGGUCAUCACAAACACUCUGUUCCAACAACACAAGAGACAACUCUACACAUGGACAUCACCAGACGGGCAGCAUCGAAAUCAGAUUGAUUAUAUUCUCUGCAGCCAAAGAUGGAGAAGCUCUAAACAGUCAGCAAAAACAAGACCUGGAGCUGACUGUGGCUCAGAUCAUCAGCUUCUUAUAGCAAAAUUCAAGCUUAAACUGACGAAAGUAGGAAAAACCACUGGGCCAGUAAGUUACAAUCUAAGUCAAAUCCCUUAUGAAUACACAGUGGAAGUGAGGAACAGGUUUAAGGAUUUAGAUUUGGUGGACAGAGUGCCUGAAGAACUAUGGAUGGAGGCUCGCAACAUUAUACAGGAGGCAGCAACUAAAACCAUCCCAAUGAAAAGGAAAUGCAAGAAAGCAAAGUGGCUGUCCAACGAGGCCUUACAAAUAGCGGGGGAGAGAAGGCAAGCAAAAUGCGAGGGAGAUAGUGAAAGAUACAGGAAAUUGAAUGCUGAUUUCCAAAAAAUAGCAAGGAGAGACAAGAAGGCCUUCUUAAACGAGCAAUGC